AGUGAACGCUGGCGGUAGGCCUAACACAUGCAAGUCGAACGGCAACACAGGAGAGCUUGCUCUCUGGGUGGCGAGUGGCGGACGGGUGAGGAAUACAUCGGAAUCUACUCUGUCGUGGGGGAUAACGUAGGGAAACUUACGCUAAUACCGCAUACGACCUACGGGUGAAAGCAGGGGACCUUCGGGCCUUGCGCGAUUGAAUGAGCCGAUGUCGGAUUAGCUAGUUGGCGGGGUAAAGGCCCACCAAGGCGACGGUCCGUAGCUGGUCUGAGAGGAUGAUCAGCAACACUGAAACUGAGACACGGUCCAGACUCCUACGGGAGGCAGCAGUGGGGAAUAUUGGACAAUGGGCGAAAGCCUGAUCCAGCCAUACCGCGUGGGUGAAGAAGGCCUUCGGGUUGUAAAGCCCUUUUGUUGGGAAAGAAAUCCAGCUGGCUAAUACCCGGUUGGGAUGACGGUACCCAAAGAAUAAGCACCGGCUAACUUCGCGCCAGCCGCCGCCGUAA
rnacentral:rRNA from 1 species